rnacentral:lncRNA from 1 species
GUAUUUUGCUGAUAAUCCUUCUACAAUUAGGCAGGCCAGAGCUAAAUAAUUUAUCCUGUAAGUGAGCUGCAUUACUGGAAGCCACAGCUUGGUGAUGAGAAAAUGCUGGGGUAGUACAGAGAAGUGGCAGUUUCAGGGAGCCGAUAUCUGCCACUGAACACCAGAGGGCACAAAGUCUCUAGCAGUCGUCUCGUCUUCUGGCUUUGUGAAUGCCAGCAGCGUUUAAACAAACCUGUUACAGCGACGCUUUGAAAAGCAAACACAAAACUUCACUGGAAUAGCAAAGGGAAAGUAAACGUGCUAACAGUUUUAAAAUGGAGAGGAAAAGAGUAUCACUUGCAGGACGUGUACAUUUGUGAUAUGUCAGCUUGAACACUGAAUACAAUGAGUAUCGUAUGGAUGUACAUAGUGCCCUGGCCGUAUUCCAGCUCUGUCCCAGCCAUCCAGGAGGAGCUCUCCCUGCCGUCCCGAGUUACUGGAGAGGUGUUGAGCUCCCUCGCUGGCCUUGUGGAGCUGCCUCCGUACUGUUUCAGGUUAGCACAGUGAGGUUUGCAAAUACUUCAGUUAGGUUUUCAAAGCUGCUCCUUUUUAUCACUUUAAGAAUCAGACUCCUGCUAUUUCAUAUACUUGUUAGUUAA